rnacentral:piRNA from 1 species
AGAACUCAACUGUGACUAGUGAGAAGGA